GGUAGCGUGUUAUAGUUGUUUGAGUGUUGGACUGUGACUCCAGAGACCAGGGUUCAAUUCCCAGUUUGACCA